GACGAACGCUGGCGGCGUGCUUAACACAUGCAAGUCGAGCGGUAAGGCCCUUCGGGGUACACGAGCGGCGAACGGGUGAGUAACACGUGGGUAACCUGCCCUGUACUCUGGGAUAAGCCUUGGAAACGAGGUCUAAGUACCGGAUACGACACUGAAUCGCAUGAUUCGGUGUGGAAAGUUCCGGCGGUAUGGGAUGGACC
rnacentral:rRNA from 1 species